UAAAGUGUCGGUGGUUAGUGAGUGCCUGAGCUAGCGGCAGUGUUCCCGUUUCACCCCGCUGUUGGAUGGAAACAGACACCAGAAACUACCGACAUCAAAUGACAUCUGUAACGGCGGCGCCGCCACGGAGCACCGGGCUGACUCUCUUCACAUUCAUAUGCGGCUGAUGUCUGUACCCAGAGAGGAGACAACGAUCCUCAGGAGGCACAUCACACCGUCCCGUCCACCAUCUCUCCCUUUGUGAAGGGGCAUGCCUUCUGAACCCAGCCUCAGAAAGGAGAUGCUGACAGGACAGAGGCUCUGCCAUUCAAAGUCCCACCAGGACUCGGUUCUCUCUGCCCUCAACCAGCAGAGGAAGGAUGGUCAGCUGUGCGACGUCACCCUGGUCGCCGGCGAGCAGAAGUUCCACGCCCACAAGGCCGUCCUGGCAGCAUGCAGCGACUACU